GGUGGUUAAGCACUUGGCUGCUAACCAAAAGGUUGGUGGUUCAAACCCACCAGCUACUC
rnacentral:tRNA from 1 species